UAUUAUUUUUAAGGAAAAAUCUUUAAGUUUAGGUAGUAUUGAAUAUAUUUUGAAACCUAAAGAAUUUGGCGGUGUUUUAAUCUAUUCAGAGGAAUCUGUUCUGUAAUUGAAAGUACACGAGGAUAAAUACUUGAUUUAGAAAGUUUGUAUACCGCCGUCGUAGGAAUAUAUUAAGGAGAGUUAAAAAUUUCUAGAUAAAAAAUUAAUUAUUAUGUCAGGUCAAGGUGCAGCUUAUAGUUAAGAAGAAAUGGAUUACAAUAAAAUAAAUUAAUUAUAACGGAAUUGAAUUUAGAAUGAAAUGAAGGUGGAUUUGAUAGUAAAUUUAAUUUUCUGAUUAAGUUGAUUAAGGCUCUAAAACAUGCACACAUCGCCCGUCACUCUCAUGAUAAAUGAG
rnacentral:rRNA from 1 species